CUAUCAGCUUUAGACGGUAGGGUAUUGGCCUACCGUGGCUAUGACGGGUAACGGGGAAUUAGGGUUCGAUUCCGGAGAGGGAGCCUGAGAAACGGCUACCACAUCUAAGGAAGGCAGCAGGCGCGCAAAUUACCCAAUCCUAAUACAGGGAGGUAGUGACAAGAAAUAACAAUACAGAACCUUACGGUUUUGUAAUUGGAAUGAGUUAAGUAUAAACCCCUUAACAAGUAUCAAUUGGAGGGCAAGUCUGGUGCCAGCAGCCGCGGUAAUUCCAGCUCCAAUAGCGUAUAUUAAAGUUGUUGCAGUUAAAAAGCUCGUAGUUAAUCUUCUGUUAAUUUUUAUAUAUAAUAUCACGAUAUUUAUAUAAUAUUAACAUACUUCAUAUUACUUUUUAGUAUAUGAAACUUUACUUUGAGAAAAUUAGAGUGCUUAAAGCAGGCUAUUGCCUUGAAUACUCCAGCAUGGAAUAAUAUUAAGGAUUUUUAUUCUUCUUAUUGGUUCUAGAAUAAAAAUGAUGAUUAAUAGGGACAGUUGGGGGCAUUUGUAUUUAACAGUCAGAGGUGAAAUUCUUA
rnacentral:rRNA from 1 species